rnacentral:rRNA from 1 species
AAGUCGAGCGGAGUUUUUUCUGGAAGCCUUCGGGUGGAAUGAUUUUUUUUUACGGCGGACGGGUGAGUAACGCGUGGACAACCUACCCUGCUCCGGGGAAAAACCCUGGGAAACCCUUGCUAAUACCCCUUAACCCCUUUUUCGCUCAUCCCUUAAAGGUCAAAAAAUUUCGGUAUAGGAUGGGCCCUCGUCUGAUUUUAUCUUUGGGGAGGUAAUGCCUCUCCCCGGCGACAAUAUGUAUCCCCCCUUAGAGGGUGAACCCCCCCACUGUAACUGAGACACGGUCCCCACUCUUCUAGGAGGCGCCACUGGGGAAUAUUGUGCAAUGGGGAAAACCCUGAUACGCCACCGCCCCGCGAGCGAGAAAAGCUUUCUAGUCUCAAAGCUCUGUCCCCUAGGAAGAUAUGACGGUACCUUAUGAGGAAGCCCCGGCUAACUACAUGCCCCCAGCCCCGGUAAUAUAUAGGGGGCAAGCGUUAUCCGGAAUCAUUGGGCGUAAAGGGGGCGUAGGCGGCCCUAUGGGUCUCAGAUUAAAGGCUACGGCUCAACCGUAAUAAGCCUUUGAGACUGUGCUUGUUGAGUGCAGGAGAGAAGAGUGUAAUUCCUAUGGUGUAGGUGAGAUGUGUAUAUAUAGGAGGAGAACCCCUGGGGAAAACGACUCUUUGGACUGCUACUGAGACUGAGGCGUAAAAGCGUGUGUAGCGAACACGAGUAUAUAUACUGUGAGUCCACGCCGCCAUACGAUGAGUGCUGCUAUGUGGCGGGAAGAAACUCGGUGCC